rnacentral:tRNA from 1 species
CGGGGCGUAGCGCAGUCUGGCAGCGCACCUGCUUUGGGAGCAGGGGGUCGGAGGUUCAAAUCCUCUCGCCCCGACCA